UACGGGGGGGGCAAGCGUUGUUCGGAAUUACUGGGCGUAAAGGGCUCGUAGGUGGCCAACUAAGUCAGACGUGAAAUCCCUCGGCUUAACCGGGGAACUGCGUCUGAUACUGGAUGGCUUGAGAUUGGGAGAGGGAUGCGGAAUUCCAGGUGUAGCGGUGAAAUGCGUAGAUAUCAGGAGGAAUACCGGGGGUGUAGACGGCUCUCUGGACCGCCACUGACGCUGAGACACGAAAGCGUGGGUAGCAAACAGG
rnacentral:rRNA from 1 species